rnacentral:rRNA from 1 species
UACGAAGGGUGCAAGCGUUAUUCGGAAUCACUGGGCGUAAAGGGUGCGUAGCCGGUAUGUUAAGUUUGUUGUUAAAGGCUCCGGCCUAACUGGAGUAUUGCGAUGAAAACUGGCGUGCUAGAGGGUGAGAGAGAGAAGUGGAAUUCCCGGAGUAGCGGUAAAAUGCGUGGAUCUCGGGAGGAACACCAAUGGCGAAGGCAGCUUCUUGGCUCAUUCCUGACGUUGAGGCACGAAAGCGUGGGGAGCAAACAGG